CACGUAGUUAGCCGGCGCUUUUUCUGCAGGUACCGUCACUUUCGCUUCUUCCCUACUGAAAGAGGUUUACAACCCGAAGGCCGUCAUCCCUCACGCGGCGUCGCUGCAUCAGGCUUGCGCCCAUUGUGCAAUAUUCCCCACUGCUGCCUCCCGUAGGAGUCUGGGCCGUGUCUCAGUCCCAGUGUGGCCGGUCACCCUCUCAGGCCGGCUACCCGUCGUCGCCUUGGUAAGCCAUUACCUCACCAACAAGCUGAUAGGCCGCGAGUCCAUCCAAAACCACAAUAAAGCUUUCCACCCCCCACCAUGCGAUGAGGAGUCAUAUCCGGUAUUAGACCCAGUUUCCCAGGCUUAUCCCAGAGUUAAGGGCAGGUUACUCACGUGUUACUCACCCGUUCGCCACUAAUCCAGGAGCAAGCUCCCAUCAUCGUUCGACUUGCAUGUGUUAAGCACGCCGCCAGCGUUCAUCCUGAGCCAGGAUCAAACUAC
rnacentral:rRNA from 1 species